CCUGGAGAUGGCGCGGCGAAGGCGCACCUGGCGGCGGCGGCAAGCGCGCACCUGGAGAUGGCGCGGCGAAGGCGCACCUGGCGGCGGAUGGCGACCGUCGACAACGAGGCCGGUGCCGAGGUGGAGUUGACCGACGGAGGGCUGACGGCGGCGACCGCGACGUUCUCCUCACCGCUCUUCGUGGGGCUCGACGAUCUCAACCUCCCCGUUGAAGGGGGCUGGGGAGUCACGUGGCCGAGGAGCAGCUGUUGGCGGCGGCCUCCUCUCGCGUCCCCUCCGUCCCGUAGGCCUCCGACCACAAGCACGGCGUGCUGCUCCUCCGCCCCGACCCUCAAGCACGGCGUGCUGCUCCUCCCCGACCACGAGUGAGGCGGCAACCGCCUGGGAAGUAGGCGAGCACCCUCGUCCCCUCCAUAUUGUAUGCAGGCUGUGGGGCAACCAGGAUGAGGGGAGGCAAGCAGCAACAGUAGGGGCAGUGGCAGCAAGGAAGCAAUGGCAAACAAGACAACAUGGGAGCAGCGGCAACAAGCAUAGCAGUUGUCCAAUUUUUGGGUUCCAUCGAUCCAUUUUCUGCAAGGUAAGAUGAGUUUAUGUGCUGCUAUUUUCUUACUCUGUCCAGUUAUUCGCAUCUGCAGAUUGAUUUAUGAGAACUGAGCUCCAAUUUAGUAUUGUGGUGCGUCCCCCCUUUUAGGUGGUGUAGUACUGAAUUGGUUCCUACUUGUCCUCACGAUAUUUGUAUUACUGUGUAAUUAAUGAUUGUGGAUGACGGCCACGCGAGCGUGAACUUAGUGUUAGCUGUUUCUUACAUAGUUUAGGCUGUAGUUCUUCCAGGAGAAUUUUCCAUGUUUAGCCUAAUAGGGAAAAGAGUAAAAUUUCUUCAGAUCAAGUGAAACUGAUUUUCUAUAGUCAGUUUACAUAUUGCAAUAACUAGCUGUUAUGAAUAGAUUCCCCAAAUCAGAGUGAAAAGUAAAAUAGAAUAUGUAAAUAAUGCUAGAGUGUGAGA